rnacentral:rRNA from 1 species
GGGAAAAGCUCAAAUUUAAAAUCUGGUGGCCUUUGGCUGUCCGAGUUGUAAUUUAGAGAAGUGUUACCCGUGCUGGACUAUGUAAAAGUCUUCUGUAAUGAAGCAUCAUGGAGGGUGAGAAUCCCGUCUGUGA